UUGCCUGCAGCAGCACAUAUACUAAAAAUUGGAACGAUACAGAGAAGAUUAGCAUGGCCUCUGUGCAAGGAAAAUGAUGCUUCUAAGUAGGGAAAUACCAUGGU
ensembl:snRNA U6 U6 spliceosomal RNA